rnacentral:rRNA from 1 species
GACGAACGCUGGCGGCGUGCUUAACACAUGCAAGUCGAACGGAAAGGCCCUGCUUGCAGGGUGCUCGAGUGGCGAACGGGUGAGUAACACGUGGGUGAUCUGCCCCUUACUUUGGGAUAAGCCUGGGAAACUGGUCUAAUACUGGAUAGGACCAUGCUGUAGGUGGUGUGGUGGAAAGAUUAGUUUCGGUAAGGGAUGAGCUCGCGGCCUAUCAGCUUGUUGGUGGGGUAAUGGCCUACCAAGGCGUCGACGGGUAGCCGGCCUGAGAGGGUGGACGGCCACAUUGGGACUGAGAUACGGCCCAGACUCCUACGGGAGGCAGCAGUGGGGAAUAUUGCACAAUGGGCGCAAGCCUGAUGCAGCGACGCCGCGUGGGGGAUGACGGCCUUCGGGUUGUAAACUCCUUUCAGCCAUGACGAAGCCCUUGUGGUGACGGUAGUGGUAGAAGAAGCACCGGCUAACUACGUG